GCACCCGUAGCUCAGCUGGAUAGAGCGCUGCCCUCCGAAGGCAGAGGCCAGGGGUUCGAAUCCCUUCGGGUGCA
rfam:Paracoccus sp. 361 scaffold_1, whole genome shotgun sequence.